GGGGGUGUCCCGGUUUCGACGGGAUUGCGAAAUCUUGUACUGCAAGUAGGAGUGAAGGUUCCUUAAACUGACAAAACAAUAACUGCAAUUUUCGCAAGAAAAGAAGAAGAAGCUGAAGAGGCUUCUUUUGCAGAAGCACUCGCUGCAUAAGCAGUAGUGCAGGAACCCGGCUGGUUCUGUUCCGCACUAACCGGUGUUCUUUGACUAAUCGGGACUUGCCUGUAACUGUGUUCGGUCUUUUGCAGGGACUUUAUAAUCGGAAUACGGAGACGACGCUUGUUAUGCUGCUACCGGCUCCCGACAAUCACCUCGCAUAACUAAACCUGUAGAUGUACCUGGUUUACCUUCUCGGACGGGAGUUCAAUUCUCCCCACCUCCAAAA
rnacentral:tmRNA from 1 species